GUUACGUGUGUGUGUGAGCGGCUGAGGGGGGGGGGGAGAAAAGGGGGUGGAGUGUAGGGUUGGGCUUUGGGGUUGGGUUUGAGUUGGGCUAGGGCUUAGAUGGAGUGAUGGGCCGAUUUUUUUUUAUGGGCUGGGUUCUUAAUUUAAUUUUCAGUGGGCUUGACUUGGGCCGAUUUUAAUUGAGUGUUGGGCCGAGUUUUUAUUUAUUUUUGUUUCAGUUUGGGCCUUUACUUAUUAAAUCAAUUGGGCCAUUAAUUUUCAAUUGGGCUCAGUUUAUUAAAAUGAAUGUUGGACCUUCAAUUAUUUAAAAUUGUGGGCUGCCUCCUAUUAAUUAAAUUGGGCUUUCUUAUUUUUAAUUAAUUAAACUAUUAUUAGUUUGAUUAAUUUAUUUAAAGGAUAAUUUUCAUAAUAAUAUUAUAUUAUUAUUAUGUGCAUAUUUUAAGUAAUUACUUAUUAUAUGCUAAGCAUGACAUGAUUUGCAUUAUAUUUUGCAAUAAAAAUAUUUAUGAUUUAAUUGGUUUUAUUUAUAAUUCCAAUUAUUAAAAAUAGACGAGUAAGAAUAUUGUUGGUGUUCUUAACUCAAAAGAAAUGUUUUCAAUUAUUUAUUCAUUAAAUUUUGAAAACCCGGCUAAGUGAAUCAUAGAAUAAUAAGCACUACACCAUGACUUAAGAUUAGCUUCACGAGACCUAUUAAGAAUAGAAUUUCUUGUAGGCUUUGUGACCAGGGGGAUUAGCGCUGCUUUCCCAAGACAGGUUUUUAUGUGUAUGAUCUUCAGGCUUUGCCUAUCCAGGUUGGCUGGCCGGUGCUGACGGGACGGAGCUGAGGCUAGAGUUAAAUUCCUAUGUUAGACUUCCGCUGUAGCAAUUACUCAUAUCAGUCUUUUGUUUUUCCAACUUAAGAUCUUCAUGUUAAAUUUCAAAUGAUAUAUUUGACCAAGCUUAGACUCUUCACUACUAAAUUUAUGCCAAUGAAUGUCGGUUGUCAGAAGCAUGAAACAAAACUUGUGAUCCAAAGGGGCAUAGCCCGACUUUCUAUCCUAUUUCGGGUUUUUACAAGGUUGUUCCUUGUUUA